CGGGUGCCGAGAGCCGCCGCUGCCGGGGCUCGCGUGGCUCCCCCGGUCCCCCCGCACCUGGAGCGGCGCCAGCCCGGGAGCGAGUCCCGGCUGUGCAAACCCCCGCUCUGUCACCCCUGGAGCCGCCGCACCCCUCAGGGGAGAGAGCAUCCCCGGGCUUCCCCUUCCCCCGCCUGCGCAGCUCCGGGGCUCCUGCGGAUCCAGCGGGGCUGGGAGGAGCCCCUCGGCCGGGCCGGGCACGCUUCCACUCGGGCCGCUUCUGCAACACCUUCCAGAUCACAGGAGCUACUGAGCUUGAGAGGGAUCCUAAAAUACAACUCUCGAGUAAACGGCCCGUGUGAGAAUUGAACUCACAAUCCAGCCAUUCCUGGGAUUCUGCUCCAAUCAACUGAGCUAAUCUGGGCUUGAACCUACCUAGGAAGGGAGUUUUCCCUAAAUCCCGGCUCUCUGGGGCUGCCUUUCCUGCUGGAAUAUGCAUUUUAAAUUUACCCCACCAAGCUUCUCCCGUGUCGAGAACCCUGUGCCUUCCCACCGUGGGCACCAGCUACAUCAACUCCUCGCUGAUCCAGGACCACAGGCAUCCAUUCCACAUGACACCCGUGCCUUACGACCUGCAGGAUGAGUUCUGAACAGCCCCCAAGCACUAAAAAUAAUUUUAAAAAUCAAGAUAAUGAUUUUCUGCUGAACAGAAUUUGAGGUUUCAGCAGCAUUAGGUUGGUUUCGUUGUGAAAGAAGCGAAAAAAAAUGGAGAAACAGAAAUUGUCUUCUGUUUGGAGAGGCUGAAUUUUGGGGGGGUUUUUGUGUCUCUCGACCGGUUUAGAUUGUCACCUGACAGGAAAGGGGAGAAAUCUAAACCUGUCCAGAGGUUUAGGUUUUAACGUUCUUAACUUUGUGGUACACCUUGUAACCAACAUUACACUGCAACACCAACGUUACAUCGUAACACAGACCUUGCUUUAAAAUGGUUUUUCUUCAUAACAGGUAAGUUGGGGAGAAUGAAAUCCUGUCGCAAACGCUUUUCCGAGCAGGAUUUGCUGCGUAGGAAGUGGCACGGCGGCGUUGUCUGAUCGCAAGAGUGGGAUCAGGCACAGCAAAAAGAAACUUUUUGGGGAGCCAGGGGUUAAACUCACUGGCUGAAGGUGCAGUUUGGUCCCUUUUCCUCCAAAAAGAAAUGGAGGUGGGACGUCUCCCUGGCCUUUCUGCUCUUCCAAGAAGGGAAUUUGCACAAAAACUGCACAAAAAUUACACGGAAAGUCAAGGGAUGCAGAGCUCCUUUUUGGGAGGGGGUCUAGUCCUAGAAGGGCUUCCAAUAAAGCAGGGUGCUGCUGUCCAGGGCAGUUGGAGUUGUUCUGUGCCUUCUUUGGGGGUGA